GGGGUUGUGGCUCAGUGGUAGAGAGCUUGCCUCCCAUGUAUGAGGCUCUGGGUUCGAUCCUCAGCACUACA
rnacentral:tRNA from 1 species